AAACUAACAAGGAUUCCCCUAGUAGCGGCGAGCGAAGCGGGAAAAGCUCAAAUUUGUAAUCUGGCGCUUUCGGCGUCCGAGUUGUAAUCUCGAGAAGUGUUUUCCGCGUCAGACCGCACACAAGUCUCCUGGAACGGAGCGUCACAGUGGUGAGAACCCAGUACACGGUGCGGAUGCCUGAUGCUUUGUGAUACACUUUCGAAGAGUCGAGUUGUUUGGGAAUGCAGCUCAAAUUGGGUGGUAAAUUCCAUCUAAAGCUAAAUAUUGGCGAGAGACCGAUAGCGAACAAGUACCGUGAGGGAAAGAUGAAAAGCACUUUGGAAAGAGAGUUAACAGUACGUGAAAUUGUUGGAAGGGAAACGCUUGAAGUCAGACUUGCUAUUCGGAGCUUGCUUCGAUUCGCAGGCCCGCAUCAGUUUUCCGGGGCGGAAAAUCGUAAGGAGAAGGUAGCAGUUUCGGCUGUGUUAUAGCUCUUUACUGGAUUCGUCCUGGGGGACUGAGGAACGCAGCGUGCUUUUUGCAUGGGCUUCGGCCCAUCCACGCUUAGGAUGCGGGUGGAAUGGCUUUAAACGACCCGU
rnacentral:rRNA from 1 species